AUUCUGGCUCAGAACGAACGCUGGCGGCGCGCUUAAGCAUGCAAGUCGGACGGCAAGGGUUGUGCUUGCACAACUCCUAGAGUGGCGGACUGGUGAGUAACGCGUGGGUGACCUGCCCUCGAGAUGGGGAUAGCCAUUAGAAUAGUGGAUAAUACCGAAUACGCUCAUGACCCUGUGGGAUAUGAGGAAAACAGGCUACGGCCUGGCUCGAGGAUGGGCCCGCGUCCCAUUAGCUAGUUGGUGAGGUAACGGCCCACCAAGGCGACGAUGGGUAUCCGGCCUGAGAGGGUGUACGGACACAUUGGGACUGAGAUACGGCCCAAACUCCUACGGGAGGCAGCAGCUAAGAAUAUUCCGCAAUGGACGAAAGUCUGACGGAGCGACGCCGCGUGGAUGAAGAAAGGCCGGAAGGUUGUAAAAUCCUUUUGCUGAUGAAGAAUAAGUGUGGUAGGGAAUGACCGCAUGAUGACAUUAGUCGGUGAAUAAGCCCCGGCUAACUACGUGCCAGCAGCAGC
rnacentral:rRNA from 1 species